UGGGGAAUAUUGCACAAUGGGGGAAACCCUGAUGCAGCGACGCCGCGUGAACGAAGAAGGUCUUCGUAUCGUAAAGUUCUGUCCUAUGGGAAGAUAAUGACAGUACCAUAGAAGAAAGCUCCGGCUAAAUACGUGCCAGCAGCCGCGGUAAUACGUAUGGAGCGAGCGUUGUCCGGAAUUAUUGGGCGUAAAGGGUACGCAGGCGGUUUAAUAAGUCGAAUGUUAAAGAUCGGGGCUCAACCCCGUAAAGCAUUGGAAACUGAUAAACUUGAGUAGUGGAGAGGAAAGUGGAAUUCCUAGUGUAGUGGUGAAAUACGUAGAUAUUAGGAGGAAUACCAGUAGCGAAGGCGACGUUCUGGACACAAACUGACGCUGAGGUACGAAAGAGUGGGGAGCAAACAGG
rnacentral:rRNA from 1 species